rnacentral:tRNA from 1 species
GGGGCGGUGGCGCAGUUGGCUAGCGCGUAGGUCUCAUAAUCCUGAGGUCGAGAGUUCGAGUCUCUCUCGCCCCA